UUGACCACCUCACUCUGGAGAAGAAGUUCUCAAAAAGAGAUGCCUCAGGGGCUAGAACUGGUACUGGCCUUUCCGAGAAGCGGAGACUGAAUCCCAGCACCCCCUGUAACUGCAGUUCCGGGUGAUUCCAUGCCUCUGGUCUCUGUGGGCACCUGCACUAACAAGCAUAUACCUACCCCCCAAUCCAAAUAAGCAGGCAUGGCAUCACACCAUGGAGGCAAAGGCAGGAGGAUCUCUGUAAGUUCAAGGCAAGCGUGGUCUACACAGACAGACACUGUCUCAAAAAGUAAAAACCAAAAGGCAGGCACGGUGGUGCAGGCCUUCAAUCCCUGAACUCCUGAGGGCAGAGGCCAGUUGGUCUACACAGCAAGUUCCAGGACAGCCAAGGCUACAUAGUGAGAACCUGUCUCAAAAAAAAAAAAAAAAAAAAAGAAGAAGAAGAAAAGAAAGAAAACUGGACAGAACUGGACAGCCAAGGACACUGCAAGCUGUACCCCAGAGGUUGGAGUCAGAGGCUCCGAUGCUUGCUGGGACUCAGGCCUCAGAGGCAGAACAGGGCUGGGAAUCAUUCCUGAGCCAAGUUUCAAGUCCCUCCGGGAGUGUCCACCAAGCGGCUGUUCCUGCUGCUUUGGCCUAAGGCGCGUUGGAGUUAGGGGACACAGCCCUGUCCCAGCCUGCGGUUGGCCGGCCUGGCGCCCAGCUCCCCUAGGCAUUCAAUAAGCAUGAAAUAAUAAUGAGAGCCAACGCUGCACGUUUCUCGCAGUCCAGCAGACGGCGCUCUAAGAGCCCAGCUCCCAGGGCAGGGCCGAGUCUGUGGGCGCGCAGCAGGGACCACAAGAGCACAGGACCCCAGUGGAAACAGACAUUACCCACAAGAGACACACCAGCCUGGUUGGUUACAUGCACGUCCCUCGUGGGGAGCCAGGAAGCGUUCCUCUGGAGGAGAGAAAGUGGGAAGGUCCAAUGAGUGGACAAGCCGCUUUCCCUGCGGCCUCCUCCGUUUCCCUCUAAGUUCAAGAGCUUCGGGCAACAAUUUCGCAAAAUUCCUCACGCACACCGGGAGCUCAGAACUCUCACACUGAUUCCUCCUGGGCCGUGCCUAACUAGAAGCCGAAGUUCAGAGGGCGCUCCUGCAAAGGCUAGCCUCGGACUACCUCCCUAUGACCUUGAACGUCCUCGUCCUUCACUUCAGUGCCGGGACUGCAGGCUUACAACAACAAGCCCAUUUAAGGGAUCCAGUCUAGGGAUACACAGUAUGCUAUGUAAACGCACUAUCAACUGAGCCAUAGCCAGAAUUCUUUUUAGACAAGGUCUCAUAUUGACCAGGCUGGCGAACUCAGAGAACUAUUUGCUCCUGCCUCCUGAGUUCUGGGAUUAAAGGCAUUUACCAGUCUCACUAUGUGUUCCUGGCUGUCCUGGAACUCAUCCUGUAGCUAAGGCUUACCUGGAAUUCACAACAGUCGCUCUGCCUCUGCCUCCAGUAUGCUGGGAUUAAAGAUGAGAGUUUCCUCCUUCUGGCCUCUACCUCCAGAUCCUCCUUCAGGCCUCUACCUGCCAAGGGCUUCGAGGUCAGGCACUCAACAGCUCCAUUCCUGGCAGAAUUUCCACCAUGAUGCUACAGUCUGGCCAACAGCAACGUGGUUGACAUUCACAGAACACAGUUGGGGAAUAGGAAUGAAAUAACAAGGAAACAGGUUUAGAAGUGAAGGCAUGCUGGUCUCCUGGCUUGCCUCAGCCUCUGCCUGCAGUUACUGCCCUCCUGAAAAGCUGGGAAGAGCUUGGGAACCCUGCCCAAGCCGAAUGGAUACAAACAACUCCUCUUUUUCCGCCUGACCCCACCGCAAGUAGCACCCCUUAAACUGAGGUAAUCUUGUCCCCAGGCUGAGUUUCUAGAUCCUGUAUCAAAGAUGGGGAGGGACGAACCUGGGUAUCUCACACUCAGAAAGAAAUGGAUUCCCUCAAGCCCCAGACGAAAUUCAGGGGCUCAGGUGAGCUGGAAGAGGCUGUGGGCAGCCCCAGAUGGUGAGGAAAACUCCCUCUAGAGCCUUCCGGUUUCCCCUGGCGCAGGGCUGGGAACGCUGUCGUUGGUUAGACGUCAGCGACACCCAGAGGCUGUGCAAAGAGACACUUGAGGUGGUGGAUUCUGGAUGAUUUCAGAGGGCUGCAGGCGCUGAGGAUGGUGUUGGAGUCUAAAGUCCCCAUACAGUGUCAAUUAUCAUCCACUUCUGGUCCCCAAGCAAGAACACGGCUGCAUCUUUGGCCACUUAUCAGCCCUCGGACUGCAGAAGUUCUUUCAAACCCGCCGCAGUGUUAAGUCAAGGAGCCUUCCGCUCCGGGGGUUCCAGAGGUAGACACCAAGUCCGAAGACAUGAGUUUCAUCCCCAGGAUCGUCUUUGUGGAAGAAGGCAAAUGACUUACAAAAGUUGAUUUCUGGCUUCAACAUGAGCACUCUACCACUCGAUGCCUGCCCCAUAAAUAAAUCAAUGUAAUACUGAUUUUUUUUUUUAUAAAUUCAGUCUACAUAGCCCUGGCUGUCCUGGUACUCACUAAGUAGACCAGGCUAGAUUCUGCCUCCUGAGUGCUGGGAUUAAAGGCAUGUUCCACCAUGCCUGGCCAAUAAAUGUAACUUUUUUUUUAAAGUACUGAAGCUGAUGAAAUAGCUCAGUGGUAAAGAUGUUUUCGGCAAAAGCUGAAUGACCAAAGUCUCAGCACCUACAGGUAAAAGGAGACAACCAGCUACAGCAAAUUAUCUUAUGAUUUUCACAUGUGCACCCUGGUACACACACACACACACUUUUAUUUUUAAAGGACUGGGAUCAGAGAGACAGCUCAGUUGAUAAAGGCGAUAGCCACUAAGCCUGACAACCAGAAUUUGAUCUGGGGGACCCACGUGGCAGAAGAAGAGAAUUGACUCCAGCAAGUUGUCCUGAUGCUCACAUGUGUACACACACACAAAAUUAAUAAAAUAUAAUAUUAUAAAACUGA